GAUGAACGCUAGCGACAGGCCUAACACAUGCAAGUCGAGGGGCAGCACGGUGUAGCAAUACACGGGUGGCGACCGGCGCACGGGUGAGUAACGCGUAUGCAACCUGCCUACUACAAGGGGAUAACCCGUUGAAAGACGGACUAAUACCCUAUAACACAGGGAAUCCGCAUGGAUAUAUUUGUUAAAGAUUUAUCGGUAGUAGAUGGGCAUGCGUUCCAUUAGCUUGUUGGUGAGGUAACGGCUCACCAAGGCAACGAUGGAUAGGGGAACUGAGAGGUUGAUCCCCCACACUGGAACUGAGACACGGUCCAGACUCCUACGGGAGGCAGCAGUGAGGAAUAUUGGUCAAUGGACGAGAGUCUGAACCAGCCAAGUCGCGUGAAGGAAGACGGCCCUACGGGUUGUAAACUUCUUUUGUAAGGGAAUAAAUAGUCUUACGCGCUAAGACGUUGCAGGUACCUUACGAAUAAGGAUCGGCUAACUCCGUGCCAGCAGCCGCGGUAAU
rnacentral:rRNA from 1 species